GACGAACGCUGGCGGCGUGCCUAAUACAUGCAAGUUGAGCGCUGAAGGUUGGUACUUGUACCAACUGGAUGAGCAGCGAACGGGUGAGUAACGCGUGGGGAAUCUGCCUUUGAGCGGGGGACAACAUUUGGAAACGAAUGCUAAUACCGCAUAAAAACUUUAAACACAAGUUUUAAGUUUGAAAGAUGCAAUUGCAUCACUCAAAGAUGAUCCCGCGUUGUAUUAGCUAGUUGGUGAGGUAAAGGCUCACCAAGGCGAUGAUACAUAGCCGACCUGAGAGGGUGAUCGGCCACAUUGGGACGGAGACACGGCCCAAACUCCUACGAGAGGCAGCAGUAGGGAAUCUUCGGCAAUGGACGAAAGUCUGACCGAGCAACGCCGCGGGAGUGAAGAAGGUUGUCGGAUCGUAAAACUCUGUUGGUAGAGAAGAACGUUGGUGAGAGUGGAAAGCUCAUCAAGUGACGGUAACUACCCAGAAAGGGACGGCUAACUACGUG
rnacentral:rRNA from 1 species